GAGAUCCGAGAGUGGUCCGAGAAUGGGACCUAAUUUAAAGGAAUCAGUAUUUUUGGACACCUCACGGGCAAAGAAACGCUAGAAAAAGGGCACGCGUCAAUUAGAAGCGCGAGGCGUCAGUCAAGGGCGGGCGUGAUGGAGGCGGGGUUUGUCACAGAGGAACGGGUUGUCCCGGGGCGUCAGUCUAGUCUUUAUUUU